rnacentral:rRNA from 1 species
GGCUUGGUAAUUGGAAUGAGGGAGAGUUAAACGGACCAUCGAGUAUCCAUUGGAGGGCAAGUCUGGUGCCAGCAGCUGCGGUAAUACCAGCUCCAAUAGCGUAUAUUAAAGUUGUUGCAGUUAAAAAGCUCGUAGUUGGACUUGUGUGCGCUGUCCGCGGGUGGCCUGCGCCCAAAAGGGCGUUUCGGUUCGGCCCCGGUGGCGCCUUGAAAUCUGCAGCUGGGGGGACGUUGGCCUUAACUGGUCGGCGACCGCACGCCGGCUGCUCGAUUACUGUGAGAAAAUUAGAGUGUUCAAGGCAGGCAUUGGGUGCAAUUGAAUACAUUAGCAUGGAAUAAUAAAAUAUGGCUCCUGCCGUAUUUUGUUGGUUUUGACUGGUGGGAGUAAUGAUUGAUAGGGACGGUUGGGGGUGCUAGUAUUGAGCGGCCAGAGGUGAAAUUCAUGGAUUCGCUCAAGACUAACUUAUGCGAAAGCAUUCACCAAGGACGUCCUCUUUAAUCAAGAACGAAAGUUGGGGGAUCGAAGACGAUCAGAUACCGUCGUAGUCUCAACCAUAAACUAUGUCGACUUGGGAUCGGCGGUAGUUUUUUCAUUAAGACACUGUCGGGACCACGGGAGAAAUCAAAGUGUCUGGACUCUGGGGGAAGUAUGGUCGCAAGGCUGAAACUUGAAGGAAUUGACGGAAGGGCACCACCAGGAGUGGAGCCUGCGGCUUAAUUUGACCCAACACGGGGAAACUUACCAGGUCCAGAGAUGUAGAGGAUUGACAGAUUGAAGCUCUUUCUUGAUCACUUCGGUGGUGGUGCAUGGCCGUUCUUAGUUGGUGGAGUGAUUUGUCUGGUUAAUUCCGUUAACGAACGAGACCUCAGCCUGCUAGUGUAGUCGGCUGGAUUGCCUUUGGCGAUCCGUGAUUUCGACUUCUUAGAGGGACAAUCGACGCGCAGUCGAUGGAAGUUUGAGGCAAUAACAGGUCUGUGAUGCCCUUAGAUGUUCUGGGCCGCACGCGCGCUACACUGCUGGGCUCAGCGAGUUUUACUUGGCCGAGAGGCCCGGUUAAUCUUGUGAAAUCCCAGCGUGCUUGGGCUCGCCUCCUGCAACUGGAGGCGCCAACGAGGAAUUCCUAGUAGACGCAGGUCAUCAACCUGCAUCGAUUACGUCCCUGCCCUUUGUACACACCGCCCGUCGUUCCAUAAGAGUGAGGCAUCCGGUGAAUUCUCGGGAGAGCCUGGGCGUGGCCAGCAAUGGUCUGCUCGGGUUUGAACUUGCAUAAACUUGGUGCCUAUGAUUAGGGAAAAGUCGUAACAAGGUUUCCGUAGGAACCUGCGGAAG